UGUGGGGCUCAUGGCGGGCGCAGGCGACGAGCGGACGCCGCUGCUGGGUGCGCGGCGGCCGGCGUUCGAGGGCCGGCGCGCGGCGUGCGCGGCCGUGCUGCUGACGGAGCUGCUGGAGCGCGCCGCCUUCUACGGCGUCACGGCCAACCUGGUGCUGUUCCUCAACGGCACGGCGUUCGGCUGGGAGGGCGCGCAGGCCAGCCAGGCGCUGCUGCUCUUCAUGGGCCUCACCUACCUGGUGUCGCCGUUCGGGGGCUGGCUCGCCGACGCGCGACUCGGCCGGGCGCGCGCCAUCCUGCUCAGCCUGGCGCUCUACUUACUCGGCAUGCUGGCCUUCCCGCUGCUGGCCGCGCCUGCCACUCGCACGGCGCUCUGCGGGGCCCUCCGCCCCACGCGCCUCCGCAACUGCUCGGCGCAGCCGUGUGCCGACGCGCCUGACCGCUACUGCGCGCCCGCCGCGCUGUCAGCGCUCGCGCUCGUGGGCCUGGGCGUGGGCGCCGUCAAGGCCAACAUCACGCCCUUCGGCGCCGACCAGGUUAAAGAUCGCGGUCCAGAAGCCACGAGAAGAUUUUUUAAUUGGUUUUAUUGGAGCAUUAAUCUGGGAGCAAUCGUUUCUCUGGGGGGCAUUGCCUACAUUCAGCAGAACGUGAGCUUUGUCACCGGCUACACCAUCCCCGCUGUCUGCAUCGGAGUGGCUUUCGUGGCCUUCCUCUGCGGCCAGACCUUCUUCAUCACCAAGCCGCCCGAUGGCAGCGCCUUCACUGACGUGUUCAGGAUCCUGGUGUAUUCGUGCUGCCCCCAGAAGCAAAUCAGGGAACGCAGUCCUAGUGGUGAAGGCAUUGGAGUCUUUCAGCAAUCUUCUAAACACAGUCUGUUUGAUUCAUGUAAGAUGUCUCAUGGAGGGCCAUUCCCGGAAGAUAAAGUGGAAGAUGUGAAAGCCCUUGUCAAGAUUGUCCCCGUUUUCUUGGCUUUGAUACCUUACUGGACAGUGUAUUUUCAAAUGCAGACGACGUAUGUUUUACAAAGUCUUCAUUUGAAGAUUCCAGAAAUUUCCAGUAUUACAACCAAUCCUCAUACGUUUCCGGCAGCCUGGCUAACCAUGUUCGAUGCUGUGCUCAUCCUCCUGUUAAUUCCCUUGAAAGAUAAACUGGUGGAUCCCAUCUUGAGAAGAAACGGGCUGCUCCCAUCGUCCUUGAAAAGGAUCGCGGUGGGCAUGUUCUUUGUGAUGUGCUCGGCCUUCGCAGCAGGGAUUUUGGAAAGCAAACGGCUGGACCUCGUGAAGGAGAAGACCAUUAACCAGACCAUUGGAAAUGUCGUUUACUAUGCUGCGGAUUUGCCAAUCUGGUGGCAGGUCCCUCAGUACGUGCUGAUUGGCGUCAGUGAAAUAUUUGCGAGCAUCGCAGGCCUGGAAUUCGCGUACUCGGCCGCCCCCAAGUCCAUGCAGAGUGCCAUCAUGGGCCUGUUUUUCUUCUUCUCUGGCGUCGGGUCCUUCGUGGGCUCAGGACUGUUGGCACUGGUGUCCCUCAAGGCCAUCGGGUGGAUGAGCAGCCACACGGACUUCGGUUUAUGUCCGGUAUUGAUGCACGUGGCACACGUGGACAGAUGUUGGACCUGGAUUCUGUUUGUUGUGUUAUUUUCACGAAAGAGAAGUACCUUGUCGUGUGUCCUGGAUCGGCUGCCCUGUCCAGGAGUGCAGGGUGGCCUCUCCUUGUUUUCCCUCCAGUCCCUCUGCCCGGAGCCCCAUGUCCAGUGAGGUGAGAGGACGUGGCAGGUCGGCUCCUGCGUGGUUAGGGGCAGGUGGCUGUCACGGGCGGUGGUUUGGAGAGAGAAUGGGACAGGUGACACCUCCUCCUCGCCGCCCCCACAUCCUUGUUUCUGUAGGAGGAGCAGCAGGUGUGAUCCCAGAUUUCACGGCUUCUCUGUGUCCUGGGCUCUCCCCGGCUCUGCCUUUCGGCAGGUCCUGCCUGCAUUAGGGCUCCGGCGGCAGUGGGGCUGGCUCAGCGUUUCCUGACUGACACAUGGGUAACUUGCUGUCAGGUUCCAGGACCACGUCGGAAGGAAGAGUCCCCAGAUUCUCCCCUCGUUGUUUUCUCCUUUCCCUGUCCUGCCCCAGGCCUGCUUGUCCUCGUUAUUAUUAUUUAGACUGGGGAUCACGUCCGUACUGUGAAGGGCACUGGUCUUAAGUGCACAGCCUGGUGUGCAUUUCGUCCAGAUCAAAAUGCAGGACGUGGAAGGGUUCCUUCUGUCCUUUCUGACUUAAGCCCCUGGCCCCCGGCAAGAUGAACUCUGUUCUGAGGUCGGCCCUGCUGAGUCCUGUGGCCUCUCUCGUCCGUGGCCGUGGCCUUUCACUCAGCACUGCGUUCUCAGAGUCAUCCCAGUGAUCGGUUCUUUGUUAUUGCUGCGGAGUAUCCGUCGUAUGAAUAAGUCAGAAUUCAUUUAUCUGUUCUGCUGCGUGUGGGUGUUCGCGGUGUCUCCAGUUUGAGGCUGUCGCAAAUAAAGCAGCUGGGAAUGUUCUUGUGCAUAUGUUUGGGGGACACAUGAAGCUUGUUUAUUGGGGCCCAGGAGUCAGUCUUAUCAAAUAGGAAGCACCCAGAGUUUACCGUGUUUACAUGCGAUUACCUUCUGUCUGUGAAGAGGCCCAAGAAAGUACAGGGUGAUCACUUUUAGGUCGUGGGCGCAGUUCUGCAAACCCUUCCUAACGCCAGGCUGCGACGGGCCCUGGCAGGGAAGACACAGCGCAGUUUGCUCAGCCUGCCAGCUUUGAGCUUUGGAAGCUGUAAAUGACUUGCGGUUUGGGGAGAUGGAUGCUUCAGAGCUGGCACUGCAAACGGCGUGAGUGGUGUUUCGACGACAGCCGCGCUGAGGCGGCAGCAAGCAGCACUGCCGCGCCGGCGUCUGCAAACCAGGGUCCAGGGGGCGGGAUCUCUGCGUCCAGGGUGGAGCCCGCCCGCACCAGGACCAAACCACUGUUUCCAACGCUGACCACUGUGGAGUAAAUAACACGGUCUGGUAGAAAUGCUAGGUAGUACUGGAUCUCUUCCCAGAGCAGCAGACAUAGGAAAUCAUUGUCUUCCACAGCCUGAAGGAGUGAGAAUUCUUUAAAAACGUGUGAGUGCUUAUUAUACAAACGUGUAUUAUAUCCGUUCAUUAGUUCUGUUAAAUAAAAGCAGUGUUAAACGUCGAUUUUAAUGAGUAUAUGUUCAGAUAGAAAAAGGAAGUUGCAGAAUAACCCAGCUUGACCGAGACCUUCAGAGGAAAGGAAGUCUGGCGUUUUAAAUAAGCCAAUGGGAGAUGCUUCUGAAGCCGGUCAGAGAGCACAGCAGCUUUCCUAAGACGCCAGCGUCCUCCAGAGACGCUGCUGAUGCGCCGCCCCUGUCUGCCCCUCUGUUCGGCAGUGUGCCCGGCCCUUUCCAGUGGGUGACCAGCGGCAUCAGCGGUUGACCGUCCAGGGUUGCGGCGACGCCGUCUUUGUUGGGAGCCGGGGUGGCGUGCUAUGUGCGGCCCCGGUGUCCCCUCCACACAGCCCUGCAUCUCCACGCCGCAUGGCCGCUGCUCAGGGGACAGACGGCAGCUUUACAGCCCUGGUGGCCCCGGACCUACAUGUGGACUGGGGCUCCUAAUGGGGCCCCGUGAAGAGGAGGCGGCCGCGUGGCCUGGGUGCUGUCUCCACAUUUGACAGGCAGGGAACCUGGGCCCAGAGACCAAGACGCUGGCGUUUGAGCCUCCUUGGUGGAGCUCCGCGGUCCAUGCCCUUAACCUCCGCCGCCUCGGCAUUGAUCGGGCACUGAACGGAGCCUCGCACGUAGGACGCCUUGUGUUGUGCUCGGGCCAGAGUCGGCCAUUCAGUGUGUCAGCUCUUAGGGUUAAAGUGGGCGCCUGUGUAUCAGCCUGCAGCCUGAACUUUUUAAGGAGAAACGUGAAAAGCAAGCUUGUGCCUUCCCCUAGUGCGGGGAGUGUGUGUUCAGCCGUCUGUCCCGGCCUGUGACGGUACUUCGUUUGAUGUCAGGUGACGACACGGGAGUCCAGCACUCACACCUGACGUGCCGUCCAGGCUGCGUCCUGGCCCGACGCGCAGUCUUGGCGCGUGUGCAGACUGUAGACCCAGGCGAGGAGGGCCGUCCGCUGCAGGAUCUGACGUGGAGACAGUGGGGGCCCCUCAUCGUGUGGGGGCAGGAGGCCCCAGCCCGGAGCCCGUGUUGAGACGCAGCUGACUCACAGUGGCUUUGGAAACAAAGCACUUGUGUAUUUUGAAUUAGGGGUAGGAUUCUUUUCUCUCUUUCUUGUUUUUCUUUUUUAAUGACCACAGUUAAAAGUCACCCUGACCUUCGUAGGAACCAAGUUAAAUACGUAAAACCUUUUAAACUCUCUCUAAGUGCGGCUUCCGUGCUGCUCUCUUUCCUUGUCUCUAGGCAACAUCAACGGCUGCUAUUUGAACUAUUACUUUUUUCUUCUGGCCGCUAUUCAAGGCGCUACCCUCCUGCUCUUCCUUAUUGUUUCCGUGAAAUACGACCUGCAGCGGCCGAGAGCAAACGGCACGCCCGCCGGC